rnacentral:lncRNA from 1 species
GAAUCUGUUUCCUGAGCAGGGGACUGGAGGGUGGGGAGUGUGGAGAAUGGGCAUCCAGGAUCCCUUCUCCUGCUGGGAAGCUGUCACUCUGAGGAGGGGGCUAGCCAGCAUUGUCUCCUCCAUGCCAAUGAGCCAGUGGAGAGAUACAAGAAGGGACCUGAAACCUGCCCAGGCCUGAUGCAGGGAUGGGGGAUGGAGCCUUAGUGCCUCUGACCCCCAUCCUCUCACCCUGCCCCAGAUGGACUCCUGUCUUACACCGCCCCUGUGGGGCAGACAAUGUAUUUAUCUGAGGCCGUGUACCUCAACGACUCCACCUAUGACGGACAUACCGUGGGCGGACUGCAGUAUGGGGGUCUGGGCCAGCUGGCAGAUGGUGUGGUGGGGCUGGAUGACUUUAGGAAGAGUCAGGAGCUGCGGGUCUGGCCAGGCUAUGACUAUGUGGGAUGGAGCAACCACAGCUUCUCCAGUGGCUAUGUGGAGAUGGAGUUUGAGUUUGACCGGCUGAGGGCCUUCCA